GAAGUACUCCCUCCGUCCCAAAAUUCUUGUCUUAAAUUUGUCUAAAUACGGAUGUAUCAAGUCACAUUUUAGUAUUAGAUACAUCCAUAUCUAGACAAAUCUAAGACAAGAAUUUUGGAAUGGAGGGAGUACUAA
rnacentral:pre_miRNA from 1 species